AAGGAGUCUAACAAAUAUGCGAGUAUUUGGGUGUUAAACCCUUGUGCGUAAUGAAAGUGAAAAGGUGGGAUCCUUUACUGGUGCACCAUCGACCGCGCCAGAUUAUUACUAUCUCGGCGUGAGUAUGAGCAUAUUUGCUGGGACCCGAAAGAUGGUGAACUAUGCCUGAAUAGGGUGAAGCCAGAGGAAACUCUGGUGGAGGCUCGUAGCGGUUCUGACGUGCAAAUCGAUCGUCAAAUUUGGGUAUAGGGGCGAAAGACUAAUCGAACCAUCUAGUAGCUGGUUCCCUC
rnacentral:misc_RNA from 1 species